UCUGGUGAUUCUGCCAGUAGUCAUAUGCUGGUCUCAAAGAUUAAGCCAUGCAUGUCUAAGUAUAAGCAAUUUAUACGGUGAAACUGCGAAUGGCUCAUUAAAUCAGUUAUCGUUUAUUUGAUAGUACCUUACUACAUGGAUACCUGUGGUAAUUCUAGAGCUAAUACAUGCUAAAAACCUCGACUUCGGAAGGGGUGUAUUUAUUAGAUAAAAAACCAAUGCCCUUCGGGGCUCCUUGGUGAAUCAUAAUAACUUAACGAAUCGCAUGGCCUUGCGCCGGCGAUGGUUCAUUCAAAUUUCUGCCCUAUCAACUUUCGAUGGUAGGAUAGUGGCCUACCAUGGUGGCAACGGGUAACGGGGAAUUAGGGUUCGAUUCCGGAGAGGGAGCCUGAGAAACGGCUACCACAUCCAAGGAAGGCAGCAGGCGCGCAAAUUACCCAAUCCCGACACGGGGAGGUAGUGACAAUAAAUACUGAUACGGGGCUCUUUUGGGUCUCGUAAUUGGAAUGAGUACAAUCUAAAUCCCUUAACGAGGAACAAUUGGAGGGCAAGUCUGGUGCCAGCAGCCGCGGUAAUUCCAGCUCCAAUAGCGUAUAUUAAAGUUGUUGCAGUUAAAAAGCUCGUAGUUGAACCUUGGGUCUGGCUGGCCGGUCCGCCUCACCGCGAGUACUGGUCCGGCUGGACCUUUCCUUCUGGGGAACCUCAUGGCCUUCACUGGCUGUGGGGGGAACCAGGACUUUUACUGUGAAAAAAUUAGAGUGUUCAAAGCAGGCCUUUGCUCGAAUACAUUAGCAUGGAAUAAUAGAAUAGGACGUGCGGUUCUAUUUUGUUGGUUUCUAGGACCGCCGUAAUGAUUAAUAGGGAUAGUCGGGGGCGUCAGUAUUCAGCUGUCAGAGGUGAAAUUCUUGGAUUUGCUGAAGACUAACUACUGCGAAAGCAUUCGCCAAGGAUGUUUUCAUUAAUCAGGGAACGAAAGUUAGGGGAUCGAAGACGAUCAGAUACCGUCGUA
rnacentral:rRNA from 1 species